rnacentral:rRNA from 1 species
UACGUAGGGCGCAAGCGUUGUCCGGAAUUAUUGGGCGUAAAGAGCUCGUAGGCGGUCUGUUACGUCCGCUGUGAAAACCCAAGGCUUAACCCUGGGCUUGCAGUGGAUACGGGUAGACUAGAGGCAGGUAGGGGAGAAUGGAAUUCCCGGUGUAGCGGUGAAAUGCGCAGAUAUCGGGAGGAACACCAGCGGCGAAGGCGGCGCUCUGGGCCGGUACUGACACUGAGGAGCGAAAGCGUGGGUAGCAAACAGG